UACGAAGGGGGCUAGCGUUGUUCGGAAUCACUGGGCGUAAAGCGCACGUAGGCGGAUCUUUAAGUCAGGGGUGAAAUCCCGAGGCUCAACCUCGGAACUGCCUUUGAUACUGGGGAUCUCGAGUCCGGGAGAGGUGAGUGGAACUGCGAGUGUAGAGGUGAAAUUCGUAGAUAUUCGCAAGAACACCAGUGGCGAAGGCGGCUCACUGGACCAUAACUGACGCUGAGGCGCGAAAGCUAGGGGAGCAAACAGG
rnacentral:rRNA from 1 species